UAAACUGGGAUUAGAUCCCCUCUUAUUAAAGAUGUCCAAUUAGUGCUUGAGUAGUAGUAGUUAUGUUCUUGAAAUUUAAAGGAUUUGGCGGUAUUUUAGUCUUUUCAGAGGAACCUGCCCUAUAAUUGAUAGUCCCCGAUUAAUUGAACUUAUUUUAGAUGUUUGUAUAUCGUUGUAGUUUGAAUGUUUUAUAAGACUUUUGGGGGUUCAAGAUUUUUUAUUAUCAAGAAAAUCAGAUCAAGGUGUCGCUUAUAUUUGAGGAGAGGUGGGKUACGANNNNNNNNNNNNNNNNNNNNNUUGACUUGAAAGCUGGAAUGAAUGGUCGGACAUGAGAGAAAGGUCGCUGUCUCAAUUUAAUUUAAAUUAAAAUUUUAUUUUUAAGUAAAAAAGCUUAAAUAUUAUUAAAAGACGAGAAGACCCUAUAGAGUUUUAUAGUUAUUUUUAUUAUGGUAUUAUAGUUAAUUUAUUUUUUAAUAAGAAUGAUUAUUUUGUUGGGGUGAUAGAAAAAUUAAAUAAACUUUUUUUGAAGGAUAUUUCAUUAAUUAAUGUAUUAUUGAUCCAUUGUUUAUGAUUAGAAGAUUGAAUUACCUUAGGGAUAACAGCGUAAUUAUUUUUGAGAGUUCUUAUCGAUAAAGUAGUUUGCGACCUCGAUGUUGGAUUAAAAUUAAUUUUUGGUGUAGGGGCUGGAAAAUUAGGUCUGUUCGACCUUUAAAAUUUUACAUGAUCUGAGUUCAAACCGGAGAAU
rnacentral:rRNA from 1 species